UGUCCCUGAUUUGGAGUGCAGAGUGGCCUGUUAACUACAGACCAGGUCUUUCUACAUCUCCAAAACAGGGCCC
rfam:Branchiostoma floridae genomic scaffold BRAFLscaffold_196, whole genome shotgun sequence.